rnacentral:tRNA from 2 species
GCGUCCUUAGCUCAGUGGUAGAGCGUUGCAUUCACAUUGCAAAGGCCGCAGGUUCGAUACCUGCAGGACGCA